CCUACGGGAGGCAGCAGUAGGGAAUUUUCGUCAAUGGGCGCAAGCCUGAACGAGCGAUGCCGCGUGAGUGAAGAAGGCCUUCGGGUCGUAAAGCUCUGUUGCGGGGGAAAAAAGGCAGCAUCAGGAAAUGGGUGCUGACUGAUGGUGCCCCGCCAGAAAGUCACGGAUAACUACGUGCCAGCCGCCGCGGUAAUACGUCGGGGGCGAGCGUUAUCCGGGAGGGUUGGGCGUAAAGGUGGCGCAGGCGGUCUUGCAAGUCUGGAGUGAAACGCAUGAGCUCAACUCAUGCAUGGCUUUGGAAACUGGAGGACUAGAGAGCAGGAGAGGGCGGUGGAACUCCAUGUGUAGCGGUAAAAUGCGUAGAUAUAUGGAAGAACACCAGUGGCGAAGGCGGCCGCCUGGCCUGUUGCUGACGCUGAGGCACGAAAGCGUGGGGAGCAAAUAGGAUUAGAUACCCGAGUAGUC
rnacentral:rRNA from 1 species